ACCCUCUGCUCGGGGAUAGUGGCGGUGGCUUCGGCCACCUACCGAAAGGGCCAGUAAUACCCGAUGAUCUCCUCAGGCCUUCUGGCCUGGGGAGCAAAGGUGGGGACCUUCGGGCCUACCGGCAAAGGAGCGGUCUACUUCCCAUCAGCUUGUUGGUGAGGUAAAGGCUCACCAAGGCGACGACGGGUAGCCGGCCUGAGAGGGUGAACGGCCUCACUGGGACUGAGACACUGCCCAGAGCCCUACGGGGUGCUGCAGUUUCGAAUCGUUCACAAUGCGCGAAAGCGUGAUGACGCGACGCCGCGUGCGGGAGGAAGGCCUUCGGGUUGUAAACCGCUUUUAGGGGGUACGAAGUGAACGGGGUCAAUAGCCCCGGGAUCUGACUUCAACCCCAGAAAAAGCUCCGGCUAACUUCGUGCCAGCAGCCGCGGUAAGACGAAGGGAGCGAGCGUUGUUCGGUAUCACUGGGCUUAAAGGGCACGUAGGCGGCUUGAUGUGUCGGUUGUGAAAUCCCUGGGCUCAACUCAGGAAUUGCUUCCGAAACUAUCAGGCUUGAGGCAUUCUGGGGGUGACUGGAACUCUUGGUGGAGCGGUGACAUGCGUAGAUAUCAAGAGGAACGCCGGUGGUGAAGACGGGUCACUGGGAAUGUCCUGACGCUGAGGUGCGAAAGCUAGGGGAGCGAACGGGAUUAGAUACCCCGGUAGUCCUAGCCGUAAACCAUGUGCACUAGGUCGCGGAGGUUCUGACGCCGUCGCGGCCGGAGCAAACGUGUUAAGUGCACCGCCUGGGGAGUACGGUCGCAAGGCUAAAACUCAAAGGAAUUGACGGGGACUCACACAAGCGGUGGAGCAUGUGGCUCAAUUCGGAACCAACGCGAAGAACCUUAUCCUGGGCUUGACAUGCACGGAUGAAACCGGUGAAAGCCGGGGACUGCCCUUGCGGGUGAAACGUGCACAGGUGCUGCAUGGCUGUCGUCAGCUCGUGCUGUGAAGUGUCGGGUUAAGUCCCUUAACGAGCGAAACCCUUGUCGCUAGUUGCCAGCGGGUCAUGCCGGGGACUCUAGCGAGACUGCCGGUGUUAAACCGGAGGAAGGUGGGGAUGACGUCAAGUCCUCAUGGCCUUUAUGCCCAGGGCUGCACACGUGCUACAAUGGGGCGGACAAAGGGUCGCCAACCCGCGAGGGGGAGCUAAUCCCAAAAACCGCCUCCCAGUCCGGAUUGCAGGCUGCAACUCGCCUGCAUGAAGUUGGAAUCGCUAGUAAUCGCAGAUCAGCUACGCUGCGGUGAAUGUGUUCCUGAGUCUUGUACACACCGCCCGUCAAGCCAUGGAAGCUGGUAGUACCCGAAGUCGCUGACCCAACCCCUCGGGGAGGGAGGUGCCGACGGUAAGACCGGUGACUGGGGCUAAGUCGGAACAAGGUA
rnacentral:rRNA from 1 species